ensembl:snRNA U4 U4 spliceosomal RNA
UACUCUCCACGGUAGCAGUAUCAUAGCCAAGGAGGUUUAUCUGAGACAUGAUUAUUGCUAAUUUAAAACUGUUCCCAAUACCCCACCAUGACAAUUGCAAUAUAGUCAGCAUUGGCAAUUUUUUACAGUCUUUAUAAACA